rnacentral:rRNA from 1 species
UACAGAGGGUGCGAGCGUUGUCCGGAAUCACUGGGCGUAAAGGGCGCGUAGGCGGUCCGCUAAGUGUGUGGUGAAAGCUCGGGGCUCAACCCCGAGUCGGCCGUGCAAACUGGUGGACUUGAGCAUGUCAGAGGCAGGCAGAAUUCCGGGUGUAGCGGUGGAAUGCGUAGAGAUCCGGAGGAAGACCGGUGGCGAAGGCGGCCUGCUGGGCAGUUACUGACACUGAGGCGCGACAGCGUGGGGAGCAAACAGGAUAGAAACCCCAGUA